CAGCAGCCUCGAAACGUCGAAAGCCGCCCGUGAAGUCCUACAGAAUUGCGGGGAGGUGGUACGAGAAGGACAGACGAGAAGCGUGGAUAACUGCAGUGCGCCGAGUCAAUGUGGAUGCCACUCCCUGGGAGCCAAAAUGAGAGCAGCCGCGUGUGCGCGCCCAGCGACCAACGAAACCAACCGCAAUCGUCACCGUCUCUGCACAUCUCUGCAAGCAUGCAUGACCGCUUUGUGACUGCACCAUAGAGAAAUAAAAGUGACUAAAUUACUGAA